rnacentral:rRNA from 1 species
UAGGGAAUCUUCCGCAAUGGACGAAAGUCUGACGGAGCAACGCCGCGUGAGUGAAGAAGGUUUUCGGUUCGUAAAACUCUGUUGUUAGGGAAGAAAAAAUGUAUAGUAACUAUAUACAAAAGAGACGGUACCUAACCAGAAAGCCACGGCUAACUACGUGCCAGCAGCCGCGGUAAUACGUAGGUGGCAAGCGUUGUCCGGAAUUAUUGGGCGUAAAGCGCGCGCAGGUGGUUUAGAAAGUCUGAUGUGAAAGCCCACGGCUCAACCGUGGAGGGUCAUUGGAAACUAAUAAACUAGAGUGCAGGAGAGAAAAGUGGAAUUCCUAGUGUAGCGGUGAAAUGCGUAGAGAUUAGGAGGAACACCGGUGGCGAAAGCGGCUUUUUGGCCUGCAACUGACACUGAGGCGCGAAAGCGUGGGGAGCAAACAGG